CUUCCAGACUCCUGACCACUUGACAAACCCUUCAUCACUACUCAUCCAAAACGGAUGUCCAGGUACACUGCCUGAAAAUCUGCCUAGUUGGAGGAUUUUGCCUCAACUCUGCCUCUCAGGAUCACUUCUGAAUAAGACUGUAUUUAGCAGCAAUUUUUGGUGUUUACUAACAUAUUGAGACAACAUCACUAUGAACCAUUACAUUGGAACCACUGUGAGAUAGAUAGAUGAGUCCACUGAGGCACAGAGAAGUUGAGUAACUUGUUGAAGAACCACAAUCCUACCCAAAUCAAUGAAGAAGGAUAUUGAGGAUAUUGAGAUACCUGGUGAAAGAAUGAGACCAUGCUGGAUUCUAGGAUUGAAUAUCUCCAAAACUCAUUCUCUGCAUGACUUCUUCUGCAAUAUUCUGAAUAUUUCGCUUUCUCAGGACUGAAAAGCCUGCCAGGAGGCAAGAGAGGAGACAACGAGAUAAAAGUCUGGUCACUUCUUCCCAAGGAUGGCUUCACAAAGGUGGUGGCUGAAGCCCCCUUCAGGCCAGUUCAGGAGCUACUUCACUCUGCUUUACUCAUAAAUAAUUUCAACUCCCUGAAGCUCCUUAAAGUAAAGGGACAAAGACAGCCAACGCCCUUAAUAGAGCCAGCUGUGUGGUCAACGACACUAUAUCAAAUGCAAGUUGAUCCUGAGAAAUCGUCUGUGGGUAGCUCUUUCUCCCCAUCUCCUCAAUUAAAAAAUUGCUACUGCUA
rnacentral:lncRNA from 1 species